rnacentral:rRNA from 1 species
CCUACGGGUGGCAGCAGUGAGGAAUAUUGGUCAAUGGGCUUACGCCUGAACCAGCCAAGUCGCGUGAGGGAAGACUGCCCUAUGGGUUGUAAACCUCUUUUGUCAGGGAGCAACGCCGGCUACGUGUAGCCGGACUGAGAGUACCUGACGAAAAAGCAUCGGCUAACUCCGUGCCAGCAGACGCGGUAAUACGGAGGAUGCGAGCGUUAUCCGGAUUUUUUGGGUUUAAAGGGUGCGUAGGCGGAAUGUCAAGUCAGCGGUAAAAUCGCGGGGCUCAACCUCGCUCCGCCGUUGAAACUGGCGUUCUGGAGUGGGCGAGAAGUAUGCGGAAUGCGUGGUGUAGCGGUGAAAUGCAUAGAUAGCACGCAGAACUUCGAUUGCGAAGGCAGCAUACCGGCGCCCAACUGACGCUGAAGCACGAAAGCGUGGGUAUCGAACAGGAUUAGAUACCCUAGUAGUU